rnacentral:rRNA from 1 species
UCAAGCGACUAAGUGUAUGUGGUGGAUGCCUUGGCGAUUACAGGCGAUGAAGGACGUCGCAGCCUGCGAAAAUCCGUGGGGAGCUGGCAAGCGAGCACUGAUCCACGGAUGUCCGAAUGAGGGAACUCACCCGCAAGGGUAUCUUGAAGUGAAUACAUAGCUUCAAGAGGCGAACGCAGCGAACUGAAACAUCUAAGUAGCUGCAGGAAAAGAAAUCAACCGAGAUUCUGAAAGUAGCGGCGAGCGAAAUUGGAAGAGCCUGCAAGUGAUAUUGAAUUCGAUACUGGAACGGUCUGGAAAGUCCGGCUACAGAGGGUGAUAGCCCCGUACGGGAAAUUGGGUUCAAGGUACUGAGCUUGCGAGAAGUAGAGCGGGACACGUGAAAUCCUGCUCGAAGAUGGGGGGACCAUCCUCCAAGGCUAAAUACUCGUAAUCGACCGAUAGCGAACCAGUACUGUGAAGGAAAGGCGAAAAGAACCCCGGGAGGGGAGUGAAAUAGAUCCUGAAACCGCAUACAUACAAACAGUAGGAGCCCGCAAGGGUGACUGCGUACCUUUUGCAUAAUGGGUCAGCGACUUACGUUCAAUGGCAAGCUUAACCGAGUAGGGGAGGCGCAGCGAAAGCGAGUCCGAACAGGGCGAUAUGAGUCGUUGGGCGUAGACCCGAAACCAGAUGAUCUAUCCAUGGCCAGGCUGAAGGUGUGGUAACACACACUGGAGGGCCGAACCGACUAGUGUUGCAAAAUUAGCGGAUGAGCUGUGGAUAGGGGUGAAAGGCUAAACAAAUCUGGAGAUAGCUGGUUCUCCCCGAAAACUAUUGAGGUAGUGCCUCGUGUAUGGCUCCAGGGGGUAGAGCACUGUUAUGGCUAGGGGGACAUGGCGUCUUACCAAACCAUGGCAAACUCCGAAUACUUGGAAGUAAGAGCACGGGAGACAGAGCACCGGGUGCUAACGUCCGGACUCAAGAGGGAAACAACCCAGACCGCCGUUUAAGGUCCCAAAUAUUGACUAAGUGGAAAACGAAGUGUGAAGGCUAAGACAGUCAGGAAGUUGGCUUAGAAGCAGCCAUCCUUCAAAGAAAGCGUAAUAGCUCACUGAUCGAGUCCUCAUGCGCGGAAGAUGUAACGGGGCUAAGUCAAUAACCGAAAGCGCGGAUUUGCAUGAAAAUGCAAGUGGUAGGGGAGCGUUCUGUAAGCCUGCGAAGGUGGUUCGAGAGGACUGCUGGAGGUAUCAGAAGUGCGAAUGCUGACAUGAGUAACGUUAAAGCGGGUGAAAAGCCCGCUCGCCGUAAGCCCAAGGUUUCCUGCUCUACGUUCAUCGGAGCAGGGUGAGUCGGCCCCUAAGGCCAGGCUGAGAAGCGUAGUCGAUGGGAAGCAGAUUAAUAUUUCUGCACCAUGUGCAAGUGCGAUGGGGGGACGGAGUGCGAAAGAUCAUCCGGGUGUUGGAUGUCCCGGUUUGUGAGUGUAGAAGGCCGACAGGCAAAUCCGUCGGCGGAUCUUCGAGACAAAGCAUCGAGGUUCUACGGAACCGAAGUGAUCGGAAGUGCUUCCAGGAAAAGCCUCUAAGCUUCAGCUUGCAUGUGACCGUACCGUAAACCGACACUGGUGGGCGAGUUGAAUAUACUCAGGCGCUUGAGAGAACUCGGGAGAAGGAACUCGGCAAAUUGACACCGUAACUUCGGGAUAAGGUGUGCCUUUGUAGCGUGAAGAGAGAAACACUCGGAGCGUGAAGAGGCCUCAGAGAAUCGGUGGCUGCAACUGUUUAUUAAAAACACAGCACUCUGCAAAGACGAAAGUCGACGUAUAGGGUGUGAUGCCUGCCCGGUGCUGGAAGAUUAAGUGAUGGGGUGAGAGCUCCUGAUCGAAGUCCCAGUAAACGGCGGCCGUAACUAUAACGGUCCUAAGGUAGCGAAAUUCCUUGUCGGGUAAGUUCCGACCUGCACGA